UACGGAGGGUGCAAGCGUUAUCCGGAUUUACUGGGUUUAAAGGGUGUGUAGGCGGACUUUUAAGUCAGCGGUGAAAUCUCCGGGCUCAACCCGGAAACUGCCAUUGAUACUAUUAGUCUUGAAUAUUGUUGAGGUAGGCGGAACGGGUCAUGUAGCGGUGAAAUGCAUAGAUAUGACCCGGAACACCGAUUGCGAAGGCAGCCUACUAAGCUGUAACUGACGCUGAGGCACGAAAGCGUGGGGAGCGAACAGG
rnacentral:rRNA from 1 species